rnacentral:misc_RNA from 1 species
GCAAACUUGGUCAUUUAGAGGAAGUAAAAGUCGUAACAAGGUCUCCGUUGGUGAACCAGCGGAGGGAUCAUUACCGAGUUUACAACUCCCAAACCCAAUGUGAACGUUACCAAACUGUUGCCUCGGCGGGAUCUCUGCCCCGGGUGCGUCGCAGCCCCGGACCAAGGCGCCCGCCGGAGGACCAACCAAAAACUCUUUUUGUAUACCCCCUCGCGGGUUUUUAUAUAUCUGAGCCUUUCUCGGCGCCCCUUCGUGGGCGUUUCGAAAAUGAAUCAAAACUUUCAACAACGGAUCUCUUGGUUCUGGCAUCGAUGAAGAACGCAGC